UACAUGUGGGUGGCGAGUGGCGGACGGGUGAGUAACGCGUGGGAAUCUGCCCUAUAGUGGGGGACAACCCGACGAAAGUCGGGCUAAUACCGCAUACGCCCUAAGGGGGAAAGGCUUCGGCCGCUAUUGGAUGAGCCCGCGUCGGAUUAGCUAGUUGGUGAGGUAAUGGCUCACCAAGGCGACGAUCCGUACUGGUCUGAGAGGACGAUCAGCCACACUGGGACUGAGACACGGCCCAACUCCUACGGGAGGCAGCAGUGGGGAAUAUUGCACAAUGGGCGAAAGCCUGAUGCAGCAAUGCCGCGUGUGUGAAGAAGGCCUGCGGGUUGUAAAGCACUUUCGGUAGGGAAGAUUAUGACGGUACCUACAGAAAAAAGCACUGGCUAACUCCGUGCCAGCAGCCGCGGUAAUACGGAGGGUGCAAGCGUUAAUCGGAAUUACUGGGCGUAAAGCGCGCGUAGGCGGUUUGUAAGUCCGGAUUGUGAAAAGCCCCGGGUUAACCUGGGGAAUUUGCUUUCGAUACUGGAUAACUAGAAGUAUGGGUAAAAGGGUAAGGGAAAUUCCGGGUGUAACGGGUGAAAUGGUAAAAUUUUCCGGAGG
rnacentral:rRNA from 1 species